rnacentral:lncRNA from 1 species
GCUGCUGAGCCAGAACUGUUGUUGAACCAGCGCAUUUACACCUGCGAUAAUGCAAAGUGUCCACAUCAUGAUUUUUGCCAUGGAUUUACAGACAGGAAUGCCAGAAACAGUCACCAGUACCUCUGCAAGUAUCAGAAUACAUUUCCUCAAUCUAUUGGUGCGCUGUCAGCUGAGAACUUCCCGGUGAAUGAGAACAAGCCCCCGGUUCUCUCUAUGUCGUCAACCGCUCAACCGACUCCAACUUCACUUGGUCCAAGCCUCAAUCCUAUUAGUGUCUCUGAUUUGGGUAUUCCUUCUGAUGGGCAAAAGUCAAUCAAUGAGUUGAUGGGUUUCUACGACAACAACAUUAGUGGUGACAAGAGCUUGACUCUAGGAAGUGCUUCCGUGUUGGAAGGUUCAAAUUCU